GGGACGGGUGAGUAACACGUGGAUAACCUACCUAUAAGACUGGGAUAACUUCGGGAAACCGGAGCUAAUACCGGAUAAUAUUUUGAACCGCAUGGUUCAAAAGUGAAAGACGGUCUUGCUGUCACUUAUAGAUGGAUCCGCGCUGCAUUAGCUAGUUGGUAAGGUAACGGCUUACCAAGGCAACGAUGCAUAGCCGACCUGAGAGGGUGAUCGGCCACACUGGAACUGAGACACGGUCCAG
rnacentral:rRNA from 1 species